UAAUACAGAGGGUGCGAGCGUUAAUCGGAAUUACUGGGCGUAAAGGGCGCGUAGGCGGUUAGAAAAGUGUGAUGUGAAAGCCCCGGGCUUAACCUGGGAAGUGCAUCGCAAACGAUCUAGCUAGAGUAUAGGAGAGGGUGGCGGAAUUUCCGGUGUAGCGGUGAAAUGCGUAGAUAUCGGAAGGAACGUCGAUGGCGAAGGCAGCCACCUGGCCUAAUACUGACGCUGAGGCGCGAAAGCGUGGGUAGCGAACAGGAUUAGAUACCCUGGUAGUCCACGCUGUAAACGAUGAAGACUAGAUGUUGCUAGGGGAACUUAGUAGUAUCGAAGCAAACGCGAUAAGUCUUCCGCCUGGGAAGUACGGCCGCAAGGUUG
rnacentral:rRNA from 1 species